AAACCGAAAACUGCACACCCCUAACUCACACACACACACACAUUUGGUUUGGGUUAAACUUUUACCCUGUUAACUCAUAACCUAAAUCGAAAAUUCAAUUUAUAAUUAUUUUCAAUCCAUAACUAAUAUUUAAAUGUAUAAAACUAUUAAUUUCAAUUUAGAUUCAUUCGAGUUGAUUGGGUUUAUCGAUUUAGUAGUUUCAUUGUACACCCUUACUUUUCCCUCUCCUUAACACAAAAGCUACAAAGAAGAACCCCCCAACCCUGCUGCCUUCCUUCUUUGGCCAUAAGCCUAGACCAAAGGCGAGCUACCUGCGAACCAGUGACAUCAAGCAAGCUUCGGCAAUGUCAAGCAGCUGUUUAGCAGCUUGAAAAUGGGAGGAAUGACCUUGGAAGGGGGAGAAAGAUGUUGUUGCAUUCUCACCAUCAGAUUCCCAUCAACUAGCCACAACAUGGUCAAAUACUUGGCCCAACUAACUCAUUAGAGGAUGGUAAGCCUGGAGUGAUGGUUAUCAUUAUCCUUACUAAAAACACGCUUUUCAAAGAAGAAAAGAGAAAAUUUGAGCAAUAACUUUUUUGAUAAGAUGACGGACAAUUCGACCGUUGGAUCUACGACCUGAGCCCAACAAUGAACUCAGCGCAUCUUCGAGAUGGAACCAAUCCGGCUCUAAUCAGACACAGUUUGGAAAAGCGAUCAUCGAAUGGUCCAGGUUGUGCAGCUAGAUUUUUGAAACUUUUCAAUCCUUAUUUAUUAAAUAUAAAUAUAUGAUAAUUAUUAAUACCAUUUGGGCUUCAUUGAGAUACAAUUGAGUUGACGAUACCCUUUCGACACUUGAACUAACUUUUCGACCCAAUUUGGACACCAGGUGGGUUAACCUGAACACGGUUGUGUUAACAGUCAAUCCUAGGGUUGUUAGAUAUUUUGGACAUAUUCUAGG
rnacentral:misc_RNA from 1 species